rnacentral:rRNA from 1 species
UACAGAGGUCUCAAGCGUUGUUCGGAUUCAUUGGGCAUAAAGGGUGCGUAGGUGGCGCCGUAAGUCGGAUGUGAAAUCUCGGGGCUCAACCCUGAAACUGCAUUCGAUACUGCGGUGCUAGAGGACUCUAGAGGAAACUGGAAUUCACGGUGUAGCAGUGAAAUGCGUAGAUAUCGUGAGGAAGACCAGUGGCGAAGGCGGGUUUCUGGAGAGUUCCUGACGCUGAGGCACGAAGGCCAGGGGAGCAAACGGGG